rnacentral:rRNA from 1 species
GAUGAACGCUGGCGGCGUGCUUAACACAUGCAAGUCGAACGGACGGAGGGAGCUUGCUCCCAAAGUUAGUGGCGGACGGGUGAGUAACGCGUGGGUAACCUACCCUAUGCAGGGGGAUAACAUUUGGAAACAGAUGCUAAUACCGCAUAACCUAAGAGUUUCGCAUGAAACACUUAGCAAAGAUUUAUCGGCAUAGGAUGGACCCGCGUUGGAUUAGCUAGUUGGUGAGAUAAUAGCCCACCAAGGCAACGAUCCAUAGCCGGCCUGAGAGGGUGAACGGCCACACUGGGACUGAGACACGGCCCAGACUCCUACGGGAGGCAGCAGUGGGGAAUAUUGCACAAUGGGCGCAAGCCUGAUGCAGCGACGCCGCGUGAAGGAUGAAUGUCUUCGGAUUGUAAACUUCUAUCAGCAGGGAAGAAUACCAUGACGGUACCUGACUAAGAAGCCCCGGCUAACUACGUGCCAGCCGCCGCCGUAAUAC